rnacentral:rRNA from 1 species
UACAGAGGUCCCAAGCGUUGUUCGGAUUCACUGGGCGUAAAGGGCGCGUAGGCGGAUCUUUAAGUCGGGGGUGAAAGCCUGAGGCUCAACCUCAGAAUUGCCUUCGAUACUGGAGAUCUUGAGACCGGAAGAGGGUAAGUGGAACUGCGAGUGUAGAGGUGAAAUUCGUAGAUAUUCGCAAGAACACCAGUGGCGAAGGCGGCUCA